rnacentral:rRNA from 1 species
CCUACGGGGAGCAGCAGUGGGGAAUAUUGCACAAUGGGGGAAACCCUGAUGCAGCGACGCCGCGUGAGCGAAGAAGUAUUUCGGUAUGUAAAGCUCUAUCAGCAGGGAAGAAAAUGACGGUACCUGUGUAAGAAGCUCCGGCUAAAUACGUGCCAGCAGCCGCGGUAAUACGUAGGGAGCAAGCGUUAUCCGGAUUUACUGGGCGUAAAGGGAGCGGAGGCGGCUUGCAAGGUCUGAUGUGAAAUACCGGGGCUCAACCCCGGGGCUGCAGUGGAAACUGGCAGGCUGGAGUGCCGGAGAGGCAGGCGGAAUGCCUGGUGUAGCGGUGAAAUGCGUAGAUAGUAGGAGGAACACCGGUGGCGAAGGCAGCCUGCUGGACGGUGACUGACGCUGAGGCUCGAAAGCGUGGGGAGCAAACAGGAUUAGAUACCCCUGUAGUC